AAGCAAAGCCUCUCCAUGG
rnacentral:misc_RNA from 1 species